rnacentral:rRNA from 4 species
UACACGACUCUCGGCAACGGAUAUCUCGGCUCACGCAUCGAUGAAGAACGUAGCAAAAUGCGAUACUUGGUGUGAAUUGCAGAAUCCCGUGAACCAUCGAGUUUUUGAACGCAAGUUGCGCCCAAAGCCAUCCGGUUGAGGGCACGUCUGCCUGGGCGUCACGU